rnacentral:rRNA from 1 species
AUGUACAUUCCUACAUUGUUAAUGCACUAUAUCCUAUCAGAACUCCAAAAUUGAGGAUGCUUGGGAUAGAGUAGUACUGGGAUGGGUGACCUCCUAGGAAGUCCUAGUGUUUUACAUG